AGAAUUACCUGGAAAGGUAAGCCGGAGAGGGUGACAGCCCCGUACGAGUAGAAAAGCUGACUGUUCUUGAGUAAGGCGGAGCACGAGAAAUUCUGUCUGAAAAUGGGGAGACCACUCUCCAAGGCUAAGUACUACUGAUUGACCGAUAGUGAACAAGUACCGUGAGGGAAAGGUGAAAAGCACCCCUAUAAGGGGAGUGAAAGAGAACCUGAAACCGGAUGCCUACAAGCAGUCGGAGGGUCUAUAAGGCCUGACGGCGUACCUUUUGUAUAAUGGGUCAGCGACUUAAUUUAUGUAGCAAGCUUAAGCCGAUAGGUGUAGGCGUAGAGAAAUCGAGUGUUAACAGCGCGUUAAGUUACAUGAAUUAGACCCGAAACCGAGUGAUCUAGCCAUGAUCAGGUUGAAGGUUGGGUAACACCAACUGGAGGACCGAACCCACUCCCGUUGAAAAGGUAGGGGAUGAAUUGUGGCUAGGGGUGAAAGGCCAAUCAAACUCGGAAAUAGCUGGUUCUCCGCGAAAACUAUUUAGGUAGUGCGGUGAGCGGACACCUUGAGGGGUAGAGCACUGGAAGAGCUAAGGGGGAGCGAUCCUUACUAAACUUUACCAAACUCCGAAUACUCAAGAGUGAUACUCACCAGACAGACAUUAGGUGCUAAGGUCUAGUGUCGAGAGGGAAAGAGCCCAGACCGCCAAUUAAGGUCCCAAAAUUAUGGCUAAGUGGUAAAGGAAGUGAAACGUCCAAAACAGUCAGGAGGUUGGCUUAGAAGCAGCCAUCCUUUAAAGAAAGCGUAAUAGCUCACUGAUCUAAACAAGACGUCUUGCGCCGAAGAUGUAACGGGGCUAAAGCCAUAUACCGAAGUUGCGGAUUUACACGUUAAAGUGUAAGUGGUAGCGGAGCGUUCUGUAAGCCUGCGAAGGUGUACCGUAAGGUAUGCUGGAGGUAUCAGAAGUGAGAAUGCUGACAUGAGUAGCGAAAAGAAGAGUGAGAGACUCUUCCGCUGAAAGUCCAAGGUUUCCUGCGUAAAGCUAAUCUGCGCAGGGUUAGUCGGUCCCUAAGGCGAGGCAGAGAUGCGUAGUCGAUGGCAAUCAGGUUAAUAUUCCUGAACCGGCCCGGAAGUGACGGAUUGAGUAAAUUGUAAGUUCUUAUUGGAUUGAGCUUGCAGUGAAUCAGUCCCAGGAAAUAGCCCGGGCUAAGACCGUACCCAAAACCGACACAGGUGGACAGGUAGAGAAUACCAAAGCGCUUGAGAGAACUAUGUUGAAGGAACUAGGCAAAAUACUUGCGUAACUUCGGGAUAAGCAAGCCCCAUUUUAAGGCAACUUAGGGUGGGGGGCACAUACUAGGGGGUAGCGACUGUUUACUAAAAACACAGGGCUCUGCUAAAUUGAAAGAUGAAGUAUAGGGUCUGACGCCUGCCCGGUGCUGGAAGGUUAAGGAGAGAUGUGCAAGCAUUGAACUGAAGCCCCAGUAAACGGCGGCCGUAACUAUAACGGUCCUAAGGUAGCGAAAUUCCUUGUCGGGUAAGUUCCGACCUGCACGAAUGGCGUAACGACUUCCCCGCUGUCUCCAACAUAGGCUCAGCGAAAUUGAACUCUGAGUUAAGAUGCUCAGUACCCGCGGUUAGACGGAAAGACCCCGUGAACCUUUACUAUAGCUUUGCAGUGGUAUUAGGUAACAAAUGUGUAGAAUAGGUGGGAUGCUAUGAAGCUACGACGCCAGUUGUAGUGGAGCAGACUUUGAAAUACCACCCUUUUGUUGUUUGAUAUCUAACCUGCUCCCGUUAUCCGGGAGAGGGACCCUGCAUGGUGGGUAGUUUGACUGGGGCGGUCGCCUCCCAAAAUGUAACGGAGGCGCGCAAAGGUUGGCUCAGAUUGGUCAGAAAUCAAUCGUCGAGUGCAAUGGCAUAAGCCAGCCUGACUGCGAGAGAGACAUUUCGAGCAGAUACGAAAGUAGGUCAUAGUGAUCCGGUGGCUCUGUAUGGAAGGGCCAUCGCUCAACGGAUAAAAGGUACUCCGGGGAUAACAGGCUGAUUCCGCCCAAGAGUUCACAUCGACGGCGGAGUUUGGCACCUCGAUGUCGGCUCAUC
rnacentral:rRNA from 1 species